rnacentral:lncRNA from 1 species
CGAGAAAGCAAUGAUAUGGAUUGUCUUUAUGCGUCGCAGUUCAUUUUAGCUCCUGUUUGAAAUCCAUGUUUAAACAAAAGUUUCAAGUGUCGGGUGUAACAACUUGCAGUAUACAAUAUACAUACAUUGGUGGAUAAUAUACAAUUUACUUUUUUUAGCGACUGCACUACGUGUUCUACAGUGACAUCGGAAGUUGCGCGGC